CUGCGGCAGCGAACGUAUCACCCAAGACAACUUUACGGAGUUAACGAUUGACGGAGCGAAGCGACGUCAAAGCGUUCAUUAAAGUCGAGUUGGCUUAGGGAUACGUUCGUUGGGUAGGGGAGCGUUCUGUAAGCCUGUGAAGGUGGCCUGUGAGGGUUGCUGGAGGUAUCAGAAGUGCGAAUGCUGACAUAAGUAACGAUAAAGCGGGUGAAAAGCCCGCUCGCCGGAAGACCAAGGGUUCCUGUCCAACGUUAAUCGGGGCAGGGUGAGUCGACCCCUAAGGCGAGGCCGAAAGGCGUAGUCGAUGGGAAACGGGUUAAUAUUCCCGUACUUGGUGUUACUGCGAAGGGGGGACGGAGAAGGCUAUGUUGGCCGGGCGACGGUUGUCCCGGUUUAAGCGUGUAGGUGUGUGUUCCAGGUAAAUCCGGUUCACUUUAACACUGAGGCGUGAUGACGAGGCACUACGGUGCUGAAGCAACAAAUGCCCUGCUUCCAGGAAAAGCCUCUAAGCAUCAGGUAACAUCAAAUCGUACCCCAAACCGACACAGGUGGUCAGGUAGAGAAUACCAAGGCGCUUGAGAGAACUCGGGUGAAGGAACUAGGCAAAAUGGUGCCGUAACUUCGGGAGAAGGCACGCUGACACGUAGGUGAAGUGAUUUACUCAUGGAGCUGAAGUCAGUCGAAGAUACCAGCUGGCUGCAACUGUUUAUUAAAAACACAGCACUGUGCAAACACGAAAGUGGACGUAUACGGUGUGACGCCUGCCCGGUGCCGGAAGGUUAAUUGAUGGGGUCAGCGCAAGCGAAGCUCCUGAUCGAAGCCCCGGUAAACGGCGGCCGUAACUAUAACGGUCCUAAGGUAGCGAAAUUCCUUGUCGGGUAAGUUCCGACCUGCACGAAUGGCGUAAUGAUGGCCAGGCUGUCUCCACCCGAGACUCAGUGAAAUUGAACUCGCUGUGAAGAUGCAGUGUACCCGCGGCAAGACGGAAAGACCCCGUGAACCUUUACUAUAGCUUGACACUGAACAUUGAGCCUUGAUGUGUAGGAUAGGUGGGAGGCUUUGAAGUGUGG
rnacentral:rRNA from 1 species